GAUGAACGCUGACAGAAUGCUUAACACAUGCAGGUCUACUUGAUUCUACUUCGGUAGUUGAUGGUGGCGGACGGGUGAGUAACGCGUAAAGAAUCUGCCCUUUAGUUCGGGAUAACCUUUGGAAACGAAGGAUAAUACCGGAUAUUAUGGAGACGUCGCAUGACGAUUUCAUGAAAGCUAUAUGCGCUAGAGGAGGACUUUGCGUCCCAUUAGUUAGUUGGUGAGGUAAUGGCUCACCAAGACCGCGAUGGGUAGCCGGCCUGAGAGGGUGAUCGGCCACAAGGGAACUGAGACACGGUCCUUACUCCUACGGGAGGCAGCAGUGGGGAAUAUUGGACAAUGGGCCACAAGCCUGAUCCAGCAAUUCUGUGUGCACGAUGAAGGUCUUCGGAUUGUAAAGUGCUUUCAGUAGGGAAGAAAAAAUGACGGUACCUACAGAAGAAGCGACGGCUAAAUAUGUGCCAGCAGCCGCAGUAAUAC
rnacentral:rRNA from 1 species